GAGGCACGGUGAAACUUGAUAAUAUGCCACAAGUCAUGCUCAGCAUAAUCAAACAGCAGCCAAACCUUUCUGUCACUGUGAGAAAGGAAAACCUUCUGUAAUGCAAUCACAUUAGGGUGCUUCAACUCUCGUAAAAGUGCAAUCUCUCUACAGGCCGACAUGGAUAUCCCUGUACCUUCAAUUUGCUUCAGUGCAUAUUCCUUUUCAUCUUUUCCGUCCUUGCGGCGGGCCUUGUAGACGUGCCCGUAGGUGCCUCUGCCCACUUUGCAGCCCUCGUACUCGAACAGAUCCUCCACCCGCUCGCGCUCGGCCGCCAGCUUCGACUUGAACUCGUAGUCCAUGUCUCGCCCAUGGGCGGGGAGGGACGGGAGGGGGACGCGGCGCCGGAUCAGCACCCCCGGCCAGCGGAGCCCCCUCCCGGCGCCGCCAUUUCCGGGGCUCGCUGG
rnacentral:lncRNA from 1 species